rnacentral:rRNA from 1 species
AGUGAACGCUGGCGGUAGGCCUAACACAUGCAAGUCGAACGGCAGCACAGGAGAGCUUGCUCUCUGGGUGGCGAGUGGCGGACGGGUGAGGAAUACAUCGGAAUCUACUUUUUCGUGGGGGAUAACGUAGGGAAACUUACGCUAAUACCGCAUACGACCUACGGGUGAAAGCAGGGGAUCUUCGGACCUUGCGCGAUUGAAUGAGCCGAUGUCGGAUUAGCUAGUUGGCGGGGUAAAGGCCCACCAAGGCGACGAUCCGUAGCUGGUCUGAGAGGAUGAGCAGCAACACUGGAACGGAGACACGGUCCAGACUCCUACGGGAGGCAGCAGUGGGGAAUAUUGGACAAUGGGCGCAAGCCUGAUCCAGCCAUACCGCGUGGGUGAAGAAGGCCUUCGGGUUGUAAAGCCCUUUUGUUGGGAAAGAAAUCCAGCUGGUUAAUACCCGGUUGGGAUGACGGUACCCAAAGAAUGAGCACCGGCUAACUUCGUGCCAGCAGCCGCCGUAA